AACGAACGCUGGCGGCAUGCCUAACACAUGCAAGUCGAACGAGACCUUCGGGUCUAGUGGCGCACGGGUGCGUAACGCGUGGUAACCUGCCAUUAGGUUCGGAAUCACUCCCCGCAAGGGGUGCUAAUACCGGAUAAUGUCUUCGGACCAAAGAAUUAUCGCCUGUGAGUGGGACAGCGUUUGCUUAGCUAGUUGGUAGGGUAAAAGCCUACCAAGGCGACGCUCCAUAGCUGGUCUGAGAGGAGGUUCAGGCACACUGGGACUGGGACACGGCCCAGACUCCUACGGGAGGGAGCAGGGGGGAAUAUUGGACAAUGGGCGAAAGCCUGAUCCAGCAAUGCCGCGUGAGUGAUGAAGGCCUUAGGGUUGUAAAGCUCUUUUACCCGGGAUGAUAAUGACAGUACCGGGAGAAUAAGCUCCGGCUAACUCCGUG
rnacentral:rRNA from 1 species